CUGAUGUUAAGUGGUUUUAUAAAUAAGGCUCUGUUAUUUGCUUAGCCCUCACGGGAGGCACGGGCUUGAGCGGCAGCUAGUGGAGUGCAGAGGAGCUGAGUCUGGAGUCAGGAGCCGGGGUUCUGGUUCCAGUUCUGCCUCUGGUGUGUGCUGUGCACUUUGGGCAAGUUACUUUCUCUCUCUGGGCCCUAAGGUUUCUACCUGUAGAAUGGGAGGGGUGCAGCAGGCAAGCUCCCAGUUUCCCUUCCUUUCUCACGGAGUGGAGACUGAGUCAGAUUUUCCCAGUAGCUGCAGAGUGAACAGAAUCUCCCUCGAGCCCUGCUCAGGGCUUCCUGCCCCUGCCCACCGCCUCAGAGUUUGGGGCGUCGGCACGGAGGGGCUGGUGAAGCCAGAAGACUGGGCUGGGGGAGCAGGCAUGGGCUCCAAGGAAGGUGGCGUGUAGGUGACUCCCCCAAGGCUGCUCUGGCUGGCCCUGGGUGGGGAUCUGGGCAGCAGCUGUGGGGGCCCCCAGGGUAGGGUGACCUGCCUCUGGAACAGACGGGGUGAGACCUCGCCUGUGGGGUGUCCCCUGGGCACAGCGCCAGGGCCACCUCCUGGCAGAGAGAUGGACCAAGAGCUCCAAGGAGCACGGAGGAUCAUGAGAGAGGAGGUGGCUGAGAGCCAGGCUGUGCCAAGGAGGCGCCUGCAAGACCAGUUGGAUGGCUCCUCCUGGGGAGGCGGGGGCCGUGGGAGAGCUGCGUCUGCUGCCACCAGCCCGAGGACCACAUUCACCUCGGGUGUCACUCCCCACCCACCUCCGCCAGGGUGAUGCCUUCGGCUGUCGGCUCUGAGGUCGAGAGUAGGAUGCAGGGAUAGGGUGGAGACAAAAGCCUUGCUUAUUUCUGCCUGCUCCCAUCGGGCUGACCACAGAUCAAUCUAAGCCGAACAGAAUUAAUUUCCUAAUUAAGAUAAAGAGACGCUUUGCUCGUUCAAACCCUAAGACCAGCUGCCAGCCAGGUUUGCUGUUGGCCAGGCUAAUUUGUCUGAGCAGGAGUGAGGCCAAGAGCCGGAGGAGCGCUUUUUCUAGAAAGCCGUGGCGAUGCUGUCUGGUGUCCAGAGUGCAGGUUCUGCUGCAGCCCGGCUUGUGGGACCUUGGCAGCAAGUCCUGUGACCCGUGAGCGCCUCUGUUGUUCACAGCCCUGGAACGCCGCGGGAGAGAGGUGUCCAGCUCCGUUCAUGCGACAGACGUUUAUUUACAGCCUUCUGGGUGGCCCGUUCUGGGCUAGAGACUGGGGAAAGCAAGUCAGGGUCAAAGAGGGUCCCUCGGUGGGAGCUCACUGUCCUAUGUGCGAGGCAGCCGCUCGGGUGGUGAUGGCACUGCAGUGGGGUGCGAGAGGCCAGUGUGCCGGGAGUCUGCCCGCUGUCCUCGUGGUGGAGGGAGGACCUGGGCUCUUGUUAGUCUCAUUCCACAUGUGUCCAAUGGAUACUAUUGCCAUCAGUUCUCUGCCAGGCUCUGCGAUUCAGCAAAGAACAAGGCAAGGACCCCCACCCCAAUCCUGAAGCCCCCAUUCUGCUGGGAAGAGGCAGACAACAGGUGCACAGAAUAUGCAGCCGCAGGGGAAGCGGACAGGGACCGGCUGGCGCACCAUGUCGGUCAGCGUCCACGAGACCCGCAAGUCGCGGAGCAGCACGGGGUCCAUGAACGUCACCCUCUUCCACAAGGCCUCCCACCCUGACUGCGUGCUGGCCCACCUCAACACCCUGCGCAAGCACUGCAUGUUCACGGACGUCACGCUCUGGGCGGGCGACCGGGCCUUCCCCUGCCACCGCGCCGUGCUGGCCGCCUCCAGCCGCUACUUCGAGGCCAUGUUCAGCCACGGCCUGCGGGAGAGCCGGGACGACACGGUCAACUUCCAGGACAACCUGCACCCCGAGGUGCUGGAGCUGCUGCUGGACUUCGCCUACUCCUCGCGCAUCGCCAUCAACGAGGAGAACGCCGAGUCGCUGCUGGAGGCGGGCGACAUGCUGCAGUUCCACGACGUGCGGGACGCCGCCGCCGAGUUCCUGGAGAAGAACCUCUUCCCCUCCAACUGCCUGGGCAUGAUGCUGCUGUCGGACGCCCACCAGUGCCGCCGGCUCUACGAGUUCUCCUGGCGCAUGUGCCUGGUGCACUUCGAGACGGUGCGGCAGAGCGAGGACUUCAACAGCCUGUCCAAGGACACGCUGCUGGACCUCGUCUCCAGCGACGAGCUGGAGACGGAGGACGAGCGGGUGGUCUUCGAGGCCGUCCUGCAGUGGGUGAAGCACGACCUCGAGGGGCGGAAGGCCCACCUGCCCGAGCUGCUGCGCAGCGUGCGGCUGGCCCUGCUGCCGUCCGACUGCCUGCAGGAGGCCGUCUCCGGCGAGGCCCUGCUCAUGGCAGACGAGCGCACCAAGCUCAUCGUAGACGAGGCCCUGCGCUGCAAGGCCCGGAUCCUGCAGAACGACGGGGUGGUCACCAGCCCCUGCGCCCGGCCGCGCAAGGCGGGCCACACGCUGCUCAUCCUGGGGGGCCAGACCUUCAUGUGCGACAAGAUCUACCAGGUGGACCACAAGGCCAAAGAGAUCAUCCCCAAGGCUGACCUGCCCAGCCCCCGGAAGGAGUUCAGCGCCUCGGCGAUCGGCUGCAAGGUCUACGUGACCGGGGGCAGGGGCUCCGAGAACGGGGUCUCCAAGGACGUGUGGGUGUACGACACCGUGCACGAGGAGUGGUCCAAGGCCGCGCCCAUGCUGAUCGCCCGCUUUGGCCACGGCUCGGCCGAGCUGGAGAACUGCCUGUACGUGGUGGGCGGGCACACGUCCCUGGCGGGCGUCUUCCCGGCCUCACCCUCCGUCUCCCUGAAGCAAGUGGAGAAGUACGACCCCGGGGCCAACAAGUGGACAAUGGCGGCCCCGUUGAGGGACGGCGUGAGCAACGCCGCCGUGGUGAGCGCCAAGCUGAAGCUCUUUGUUUUCGGAGGGACCAGCAUCCACAGGGACAUGGCGUCCAAAGUGCAGUGCUACGACCCCUCGGAGAACCGGUGGACGGUCAAGGCCGAGUGUCCCCAGCCCUGGCGAUACACGGCCGCCGCCGUCCUGGGCAGCCAGAUCUUCAUCAUGGGAGGCGACACAGAAUUCACGGCCGCCUCGGCCUACCGCUUCGACUGCGAGACCAACCAGUGGACGCGCAUCGGGGACAUGACCGCCAAGCGCAUGUCCUGCCACGCCCUGGCUUCUGGCAACAAACUCUACGUGGUCGGGGGCUACUUUGGGACCCAGAGGUGCAAGACGCUGGACUGCUACGACCCCACUUCGGACACAUGGAGCUGCGUCACCACAGUGCCCUACUCGCUCAUCCCCACCGCCUUCGUCAGCACCUGGAAGCACCUGCCCGCGUGAAGAGCACCCGCGGAGCCAGCCAGUUGAUCUUGAGCAACUCACACAACCCCUCUGCAAAACGGGGACGAUAACUUCAGCUAGACCCGCACCCAGCUAGACCGUGGUUCCCAAGUAUCAGGAUCAUACAUCAGGAUCUUUGACAGGCGUCUUUUGACAGUGCCGUGUGGCACUUGGGCCAACCUGAAAAGUCUGAGGACGCGAUCCCCACACAAGUCUGCUCUCGCUUCGAGCACCAACUACAAGGCAGGAGCCUCCCAAACAGCCCAGGUCCGACAGUCUGCUGGGAGGGCGCACCGCGCACCGAGGGCCGCAUGGCCGCUGUUUGGGUUACUGCAGGCAGGAUGCGAGCGUCGCUAGCCAGGCGCUCACGCAGGCGCUGGUGUUUGCGGUUUUACCGGGGCUGCGCCGUGUGGACGUGGAUGCCUGAUGAGCUGACUGUUCACGUGGUCUCCCUGUCUCCAGGUGGACGGAUGCAGCAUGACACAAACCCCCACCCCAAAUCACGUGGUUGUCAGAUGUGGCCACCACCCUCCCCAGAGACAUAGAUCAACCCCCUAGGAGCUGAGGGCCAAGGCCAGACCUCUGUUUGGGGAAGGCCAAACUGUUCACUGCACACAUGCCAAAGCCCCGGCCACACCCCAGAGCUAGUAAGCCAGAACCUGUGAGGCGGGGGGCCCUGGCCUCAGUAGUGGUCGCAGCUCCGGGACGUCCCAGUGUGCAGCCAGGUGGACAGCCCAGGGGCGAGGUCGGUGCUGGUGCCACUGCCGUGGAUCGGGUCCUGCCUCUCCUGGGACAGCUGCGUGCUCACAGCCCUCUCGGCGCUUGGGUAGGGACUGGCGUGGGUGGCUGGUUGCCAGAGAAGGGUUUGGGGCUUGACUCUCAGGUCCUGGGAGGGGCCAGGAUGUGUGCUGCUAGCCCUUGUCCCUUGUCCCAGCUCUGGGAUGGUGCGGGCAGCCUGGGAUCCUGGGGGCUCUGGGCUGGGAUGGGGGGCAGAGUGGGACAAGGGACCCGAGGUGCUGCUCUGCCGCCAGCACAAGAGGAGCCUGUGGAGGAAGUGGCACCGACAGCCGCAGAGCCCGUGCCCCUCCCGCGCCCACCUGCCUCUGCGCCCCAGCGGCACGGAGGGGCCAGCACCGGUCCCGGUGCGCAGGCUCAGCCCCCUGCAGUUCAGGUCACAGGAAGCUGAGCAGAAAAAUUAAUUUCCUCUAUGAACCGGUAGUUGCUGACAUGCAUGCUGAAAGCAGUCAGUCUUAGCUGGGGCAGCUUCUAAAGGAGGCUGAUGUUUCAGCGCUAAAUCACAUCGCUCCCAGCCUUCGAGUCCCUUAAAGGGAUACGCCAGCAGGCGAGGAGGGUUCAAGCAAAGGCGUCAAAUCCGUAAAUAUGGGGUGUUUGGGCUCGUGAAGGGCUGCUUGAAUAGGAAUGUGGCUUCAUUGUCUUUUUAGGCAUUUCUGGGUUUGGGUUUUUUUUUUUAUCUUUUCACUUCCACUCUGUAAGAAAAAUCUGACCUGUCACAUUUCUUGGCCCCCUGAGGAGUGAGCUUCCAAGAGGAUAUUGGGUUUUCCUCAUCAGUUCCCUGUUGCUACUCUCCAGGUAACAUAGGAGCCCGGCGUGUCAGGGAAUGGAGGAAUGGAGGCUCCUCCCACUGCAGGCCAGGGACCCUGAGCCGCAGGCCCCAGGCAGCUCCGACCACCCCCACACGGGAGGCUCCCUGCCACCCAAACCAGGCACGGCUCAGGAGGGGCUGGCCAAGCCCCUGGGCAAGAGGCAGGGCUGAGAUGUAGCAGGCCUGCUGCUUCCCGUGCUGCAGCGGCACCCCAGUGACCACAUGCUCCCCUGAGCCUGGCAGCCAUGUGGGGACACCGCGCCCAGGGCCUCGGCCAGCACAUUGUCCAUCUGCAUUGUCUCCUAGCAGUGCCUGGGCCAGAGGUGGCUCCUGUGCCCACCGUGCACCUCCAAGUUUGCCUCCCUGACCCAGGAGCUCAGGGCCAAGUGUGCCGGUGAGAAGUCAGCUCUCGCUGGUCCCCACCGGCGUCACUGACCCGGCCAGCUGUUCCUGUGCCGGCGGGCCCUCUGCAUCCAUCUGCAAAACUGACUUGAGCUUGGGAGCCGCCGGCCUCUCCUCCACACCCCAGAUGACAGCCGCUGCUUGUCCCCAAGCUCUCGUUCCCUGUCCCAGCCAUCCAUUUGAACUCCUGGCCCUUUAAGGCACAACCCCCAACUCCUGUCUCCUCAUCCCCCACCCAGCCCAGCCGGAGGAUGAGCCCAUUUCGCAGAUGGGGAGACCAGGCCUCAGAGAAGCAGCUGCCAAUAAAUGAGGGGAACCCAGACUGGGGUGGCCUUGGGACGAGCUGUGGGCAGCCGUGUGAUCCGUUCCAGCCGGUCCCCCGGCCCACUGGACGGUGCCCACGCCGUGCCCUGACUCAGGAAACACCCUCACAGCCACACCUGGGGCAGCCUCGCCAGUGUAACCAAAGCCAGACCACCUUGCAGCGGAAGAGGGCCGGGCCCAGUGCCUACCGAAGCCCCGAGAAUAAAUAACGCUUUCCUAGCCACUGGGUAGCCCUUAACCCAGGCAUGUUGACACCCAGGAUCAGCCGCCGCACUCAGGAUCCGGGCCAGGGUGCUCCUGGACUGCUCGGGACUGCUCGGCAGGGCUGACGGUGGCAGGGCUGCGUCCCAGCCCUUCCCUGCGGCUCUGGAUUCUCAUCUUGUUCCAGAUUAGGGCAGAACAAUGUGGCCACUGAUUCAUUCUCUCUCUGUCUCUUUCUCUUACCCCGCCAGACUCUGCGUGUCUGUCCCUCCCCACAGCUGCGGCCCUCACUGUCACAGCCUGGCCUUGGCCUGUCUGCCGCAGCGAGCUCGGCCUGCCCUGGGCCAGCAUCUGAGGGGCGGCGGCUCCGCCCGCUCCGGGAGCAGCAGCCUCGCUGAUCUGAGCUUCAGACGAGAAGAGAAGUGACUCCGCAUCUCGUGUGCCCCCCGAGGCCUCUAGCUUUGCGGUGGUUUGCGGGAGGAGAGGCCCUUCCAGCGGGGCGUGGCUGCCGCCAGGACUGCCCCGAUCUCAGAGAGACCGACCCAGCUGCAGAGCCUUGAGGUCACCCGUGUCAGCACGGGCCAGAGGUCCUGGGAGUGGGAGCGGCACUGGGCGGCCCCAGCGCUGCCCGCACAGCCUGUGACGUCAUGCCGUGGGUGGCAUUCCAGAGGGAAGCAGGGUUCACUGGGACUGAGAGCAGAAAGUUGCUGAGAAUAAAACCCAGGACAGAUUUUAUAAGGGGCAGAAAUGCUGCCAGGUGACUACAGUGACAUCCACAAGGCUUUAUUAGCAAAUAGCACCCAGACCCCCGAGGUCAAAGAGGAGAUCUCUGUGGACCCCUCCCCAAAGCCCCAAGUCCCAGCCCAUCGACCAGGGUGGUGCAGCGAGGCGCCCACUCAUGGGGGAAGCUGGGGUCGUGCGGCAGGCUCAAGGUCCCUGGGUGACUUGGGGGGCCACCCCCUUCUCUCCUCUUCAGAGCCCACCCUAGAGGCAGUGGCGACCUGUCUCCUAAUAGGCCCACCCCUGUCCACAGCAUUGGGGGCCCCUGCCCGGGAGACCACACCUGCCCUCAGACUGUGGCCCUACCUUCCAAGACGGGGAGCAGCCGUGAGCUGGGGACCCCAGGGCACCCCUGCAGGCCCCUCAGAGCUGCAGCCAUGUCUGCGUGGGGGACGGCGGUGAGCCCCCAGCCAGCACUUGCUUCCUCUGCAGUCUUGGCCUUCCUCGGUGACCCGGCUCUUUCUCUCUUUGCUCCCCUCUGAGCUCAAAACUAAGAAUGGUCCCAAGAGAACUGCCCAACAUCUGAUCAUCGCUGUCACAUCCCAAGCCACUGGAGCCUUCAUCCAUCCCCAGCAUCUGGGUCGUGGGGCGGUCAGCGCCUCCAGUGGCCACCCCAACAUCCGUCGCUCACCCAGGCCACCAUGAGGGUGAGGGAGGAUCUCGGGGCCUUGGGCAGGGCCUGGGCUGGGCGCCCCAACCUGUGGUUUCCUGGCCGCCCGCCACGUGCACACGCUGCUUGGCUGGCUCGGGAUCAGGGCUCCAGGCUGGGCUACACUGAUGAUAGAAGAUUUGGGGCCACAUGACAAACCAGCUGUUUAAUCAGCCCCGAGUGUCCUCACGCCUCAGCACCAGCAUGGUCCUGCGGGCCGCUUUGGGGAGCGGGACCUACGGGCAGGAUCUGCCAUUGACAGGCUCCAGCCGUGGGGCGCUGGCCACGUGCGGCUGCGUCCAGGGCUCGGACCCUGCCAAGCCCCACGGGCCGGCCUCCUUUGCUUGUGGGGUCCAUCUCAGCCGCGUAGCUACGCUGGGCUCUGGCCCUAGGGACGGCUCUGCUGGAGACCUCGGGAGCCCCCGCCCUGGGGCUGGUGGAGGAAGCCUCGGGGCUGCGGGGGGCCCUUGCCGGUGAUCGCCUCCUUGCCAAAAAGCACACUUCCCUCGUAGCACAGAGGACCCUGCCAUGGUGCUUCCCCAAAGUCGUGUUGCUUUUAUCGGUUUUCUAACUUAAUAAACAGAGUUGACAAAA